rnacentral:rRNA from 1 species
UACGUAGGGGGCUAGCGUUGCUCGGAAUCACUGGGCGUAAAGGGUGCGUAGGCGGGUCUUAAGUCAGGGGUGAAAUCCUGGAGCUCAACUCCAGAACUGCCUUUGAUACUGAAGAUCUUGAGUUCGGGAGAGGUGAGUGGAACUGCGAGUGUAGAGGUGAAAUUCGUAGAUAUUCGCAAGAACACCAGUGGCGAAGGCGGCUCACUGGCCCGAUACUGACGCUGAGGCACGAAAGCGUGGGGAGCAAACAGGG